rnacentral:rRNA from 1 species
AACGAACGCUGGCGGCGCGCCUAAUACAUGCAAGUCGAGCGAGAAGACGUAGCAAUACGUUUGUAAAGCGGCGAACGGGUGAGGAAUACAUGGGCAACCUACCCUCGAGUGGGGAAUAACUAGCCGAAAGGUUAGCUAAUACCGCGUACGCUCCUUGGACUUCGGUUCAGGGAGGAAAGCGAUACCGUGGGUAUCGCGCUCUUGGAUGGGCUCAUGUCCUAUCAGCUUGUUGGGAGGUAACGGCUCACCAAGGCUUCGACGGGUAGCUGGUCUGAGAGGACGAUCAGCCACACUGGCACUGCGACACGGGCCAGACUCCUACGGGAGGCAGCAGUAAGGAAUAUUGCGCAAUGGGCGAAAGCCUGAC